AUCAGCUGUGUCCAUCGGGAAGGUUUGGGCCGGCCUGUGUCCACUCUUGUGUGUGUCAGAACAAUGGGUCAUGUGACCCAGUGAGCGGAUGUUGCAGCUGCCUGCCAGGGUUCUAUGGACAGAGCUGUGAAUUCAGCUGUCCUGAGGGAACUCAUGGUCUGUACUGCCGUGAGACAUGCAGCUGUAAAAACGGUGCCAAGUGUAAUCCAAUCAAUGGCCAGUGUAGGUGUAAACCUGGCUACCAUGGCGACAACUGCCAACACAUGUGUUCACGAGGGUUCUAUGGAUCUAAGUGUAGAGAGGAGUGUCAGUGUGGCUCCUCCCACUGUGAUCAUGUGACAGGGGAGUGCUUCUGCCCUGUCGGACUGAAGGGGGCCAAUUGCACAAACAUGUGCAAGCAAGGAAAGUAUGGUCCAAACUGUGAGUUUUUCUGUGACUGUGAUAACCAGGGAUUCUGUGACCCUGAAAGUGGGGCCUGUGUGUGUCGGGGAGGCUUCACUGGCUCCAGGUGUCAGUACAUCUCAGCAUCUUCCUCCACCAGAAGAGGAGACAUUCCAUGGAAUGUACAUUACUUUGGCAGGAGGUGACAGAAGCAGAGACAUUUCACAGGUGCUUCUAUAAAUAGAACACUCCCCCAUCCAAUCACAGUGUUUAAAGGGAGACAAUCUUUUUACCCAGAAUUCCAUUGCAUCAAUCACCACACCUCACGCUUCAUCCACCAGCUUUGAUUGGAUGUAAAACCUGUGCCAAUAGAUUUCUAUUUUAAGAUGCUGUUUGAUAAAAUGACAGAUGUGUAAUUGGCAUUUCUAAUACUUUUCUUUUUUUAAUUAAUUUAACAUUUGUUCUAAUUUAUCGGGUUAUAUUUCCAUCAUUAAUUUAUGAGAAUGUUUUAUAUGAUAAGAUUAGGGUAUUUUUCUUUGCUUUUGACUUUCAAUGAGCAACAAUAUUUGCUGUAGCAAAAAAUAUUUUAUAUUUUAACAACUAUAAACAUAUGUAUAUUUGAGCUCACUCAAUUUCAAUGAUAAGUAGAUAAAAGUGUAAAUAUUUAAAAAAUAGUGAAGUAAUUUCCAUUUCACAAUUCUUACGUUGAUUGACAUUGAAUAACUUUCAUUGGAAAAGCAUGUUGAGAAACUUGCUAUAAUACAUGUUGUAUCAAAUUGUUGGUAUGUUGGUUAUAGCUGAUUGAAUGGUUGUUAAAAGAUUUUAAUGUGUGGGAUCAAUUUUGAGAAUGUGUUCGAUGUACUUGGUAUUUUAUUUUAUUGAAGACCAAAGAAAAUUACAUUUUUAGCCUUUUAGAAUCUUAUGAAUUGGUGCAAUAUAUUUACCAUUAUUUAACUCCUAGUUGCCCUUUGUUUAUAUUUCAUAUCUAUGUGUAUGACAGGUGUUAAUUGCAUAGUUAUAUUGCUAUAAUGCUACAUGUUUUGAUUUAUGUCAUGGAUGUAUAGAAUUAUCACAGUAUUUAUUUCAUAAAAAUACAUGUGUUAUCUGUGUACAUCAAUAUCCACAUUCAAAUCAUUCAAUAUGUAUUAUAUAAAUGAUAAGUUAAAAGGGGUAAUCAUGAUUUAUAAAUGUUACACAUAUAUGAUCAAAUGAUGUCUAUACAUUGUAUACCUCUUAACAAGACAUGGACUUUAGGUAGUUUGUGUCAACGACAGUUUGAUUUAGGCCUGUUCAUUGAUAUUGCCUAUCAACAACAUUUGUCAGACUCUUUGCCUGUGUAAUUGGUUAAAUCAUAUUUCACUUGAGGCCACUGUCAUAGUAAAAGUCCAUUGUUUUGUUAAAAUAGCUUUGAAUUACUUUAUAAUGUGAUUAUUGAUGUGCAUAAAUGAAAUAAAUAUUUUAUAACACAUUUAUAGAUGAUUGUUCCACCAUAGAUAUUUACAUGAUUUUGUUUACACCUGUUUAUGACAUCCAUUGCCAGUGUUUUAAUUGUGAUCAUAAAUAUUAUCAUGUUGUAAUUAUAUUGAUUUAUUUUCCCAUGUAUUUUGUAGCUUCAAAAAUACUCAUUCAAAGCCUGAUACCAAGUGGCUUGCUCGAUUCUAGAUGAUACCAUAUGUGUAAUAUAUAGUACGAUAUAGUAGCAUAUACAUGGUAUAUGUGUUAAUAUGAAGAAUAACUUCUUGCUUAUUAUACCUUUAUGGUAAAUUGUUUCCUUUCCAGAAAUUUGCUGUACUAGAGAAUGACUGUUGUUAUAUUAAACAUGAAAGUUGAAAGUCAAUCCUUUGGGUAAAUUUUCCUUAGAGGUGUGUGUUACUGUUAAACAUGUAACAAUAUCCUCUGUAUUUUUAAGUUUUGAAAAUAGUCUCCACAAUCUAGCUACAAGUUACUGUCUGUAUGCAAUAAUUAAAUUCAACAUGGCUACUUCGGUUUUC
rnacentral:sRNA from 1 species